CUACCCGCGCCUUCAAGGGUCAAAGUACUUGUCAUCGUCCCGGCGUCUCGCAGGCUCUAAAUACUGCUUCGAUGAGGUAUCGUUGUUGCAGCAAUAAACUGUAAUCCUUUGGUGUUUUCUUUAGUUAAAAGAUUUCAAAGAAGAAUGAAAGAAACGGAUUUACAAGUCAGGGGUAGAAUAUACAGUCUGUUGGUCUCAUUUCGUCUUCUCAACAGUAGGAAAUGUUGUUUUUGUAUUCAAGAGUUUAAAGAGAGUACUGAAGGAAGAUUUGACGCAAAUCACCAUAUCUCAUCCGGGCAUACCGCCACCUACGUUGUGCCUUUCUUUGCAGGGCAUGUACGUCUGACCUACAUGCUACAAGGACGUACGUGCCCAUGGAGAUUGAAAGAAAAAAAAUCCUGAAUCUUUCUGAACCUUGGAAUGAUGCAAUAGACAAGAUUAACCUUUAGCCACCAUUGACUUUGUUUCCUGAAACUCUCCAGGCAAUGGAUUUUAAAUUGUCGGUGAGCUUUGUGGUUCUUUAGAUGCCUGGAUGCCUUGUGUGGAUUAUAGAGCUUUACUAUUUCCACAGAUGGGUCACUCAAAAGUCAAACUAGAUAAAGUGGAAUGAAAGAUAAAACUUAUCGGUUAAAGUCUCGUUUUCCCUUUUAGAGUCGUUUAAGGAAAUAAGAUGAACAAAGUCUUGUUUGUUUUGUGCACAUGGAUAUCAGAUAUAUUUUUCUAGUCAUUUUGUGAUCUAGUUUGAUUUACGAUUGGUUAAGUUAUCGAAAAUCAAACCAGAUUGAGUGGAUAGGAAAUAAAAUGAAUGCCGAGU